rnacentral:rRNA from 1 species
GACGAACGCUGGCGGCGUGCCUAAUACAUGCAAGUUGAGCGCUGAAGGUUGGUACUUGUACCAACUGGAUGAGCAGCGAACGGGUGAGUAACGCGUGGGGAAUCUGCCUUUGAGCGGGGGACAACAUUUGGAAACGAAUGCUAAUACCGCAUAAAAACUUUAAACACAAGUUUUAAGUUUGAAAGAUGCAAUUGCAUCACUCAAAGAUGAUCCCGCGUUGUAUUAGCUAGUUGGUGAGGUAAAGGCUCACCAAGGCGAUGAUACAUAGCCGACCUGAGAGGGUGAUCGGCCACAUUGGGACUGAGACACGGCCCAAACUCCUACGGGAGGCAGCAGUAGGGAAUCUUCGGCAAUGGACGAAAGUCUGACCGAGCAACGCCGCGUGAGUGAAGAAGGUUUUCGGAUCGUAAAACUCUGUUGGUAGAGAAGAACGUUGGUGAGAGUGGAAAGCUCAUCAAGUGACGGUAACUACACAGAAAGGGACGGCUAAUUACGUG